rnacentral:rRNA from 1 species
CUCAAAUGAAUUGACGGGGGCCCGCACAAGCGGUGGAGCAUGUGGUUUAAUUCGAUGCAACGCGAAGAACCUUACCUGGUCUUGACAUCCACAGAACUUAGCAGAGAUGGAUUGGUGCCUUCGGGAACUGUGAGACAGGUGCUGCAUGGCUGUCGUCAGCUCGUGUUGUGAAAUGUUGGGUUAAGUCCCGCAACGAGCGCAACCCUUAUC